UACGUAGGGUGCAGGCGUUAAUCGGAAUUACUGGGCGUAAAGCGUGCGCAGGCGGUUUGCUAAGAGAGAUGUGAAAUCCCCGGGCUUAACCUGGGAACUGCCGUUUCUAACUGGCAGGCUUGAGUGUGGCAGAGGGGGGGUGGAAUUCCACGUGUAGCAGUGAAAUGCGUAGAGAUGUGGAGGAACACCGAUGGCGAAGGCAGCCCCCUG
rnacentral:rRNA from 1 species